UAUGUAACGGGAAAAAAGGAAAGGAAUAAGUGGCGCGGGGUGAGGGGAAAGGAUUUACCUUGAAAGAAACUCUGGUUUUAAGAUCAGUCUUCCUGUCAUUGAAGCCUGAUACAAUUGCUGAAUAAUAGGAGUUUCCGACUGCUUCUGCUGU